AUUGAACGCUGGCGGCAUGCCUUACACAUGCAAGUCGAACGGCAGCACGGUCUUCGGACUGGUGGCGAGCGGCGGACGGCAGAGUAACGCGUAGGAAUAUACCCCAAAGUGAGGGAUAAGCUCCAGAAAUGGAGUCUAAUACCGCAUAUGGUCUUCGGAUUAAAGCCUUCGGGCGCUAUGGGAAUAGCCUGCGUUCGAUUAGCUAGUUGGUGAGGUAAUGGCUCACCAAGGCGACGAUCGAUAGCUGGUCUGAGAGGAUGAUCAGCCUGACUGGAACUGAGAUACGGUCCAGACUCCUACGGGAGGCAGCAGUAGGGAAUUUUCCACAAUGGGCGAAAGCCUGAUGGAGCAACGCCGCGUGCAGGAUGAAGGCCUUCGGGUCGUAAACUGCUUUAUGUGCGAAGAAUAUGACGGUAACACAUGAAUAAGGGUCGGCUAACUACGUG
rnacentral:rRNA from 1 species